UACGUAGGGUGCGAGCGUUGUCCGGAAUUAUUGGGCGUAAAGAGCUCGUAGGCGGUCUGUCGCGUCUGCUGUGAAAUCCCGAGGCUCAACCUCGGGCCUGCAGUGGGUACGGGCAGACUAGAGUGCGGUAGGGGAGAUUGGAAUUCCUGGUGUAGCGGUGGAAUGCGCAGAUAUCAGGAGGAACACCGAUGCGAAGGCAGAUCUCUGGGCCGUAACUGACGCUGAGGAGCGAAAGCUGGGGAGCGAACAGG
rnacentral:rRNA from 1 species